rnacentral:sRNA from 1 species
GCCAGGCGUGGUGACACGCGCCUGCAAUCCCAGCUACGCAGGAGGCUGAGGCAGGAGAAUCUCAUGAACCCGGGAGGCGGAGGUUGCAGUGAGCCGAGAUCACACCACUGCACUCCAGUCGUGGCAACACAGUGAGACUCCAUCUCAAACAAACAAACAAAACAAACAAAACAAACAAACAAAAAGUAGUUAUCUUUUUUUCUUUUUUUUUUUUUUUGAGACGGCGUCUCAUUCUGUUGCCCUGGCUGGAGUGCAGUGGCGGGAUCUCGGCUCACUGCAACCUCCGCCUCCUGGGUUCAAGCGAUUCUCCUGCCUCAG